rnacentral:rRNA from 1 species
CCUACGGGGGGCAGCAGUGAGGAAUAUUGGUCAAUGGACGAGAGUCUGAACCAGCCAAGUAGCGUGAAGGAUGACUGCCCUAUGGGUUGUAAACUUCUUUUAUAUGGGAAUAAAAUGUUCCACGUGUGGGAUUUUGUAUGUACCAUAUGAAUAAGGAUCGGCUAACUCCGUGCCAGCAGCCGCGGUAAUACGGAGGAUCCGAGCGUUAUCCGGAUUUAUUGGGUUUAAAGGGAGCGUAGGUGGAUUGUUAAGUCAGUUGUGAAAGUUUGCGGCUCAACCGUAAAAUUGCAGUUGAAACUGGCAGUCUUGAGUACAGUAGAGGUUGGCGGAAUUCGUGGUGUAGCGGUGAAAUGCUUAGAUAUCACGAAGAACUCCGAUUGCGAAGGCAGUUCACUGGACUGCAACUGACACUGAGGCUCGAAAGUGUGGGUAUCAAACAGGAUUAGAUACCCGUGUAGUC